UACAGAGGUGGCAAGCGUUGUUCGGAAUUACUGGGCGUAAAGAGCGCGCAGGCGGCUUGGCAAGUCGGGUGUGAAAUCCCGGGGCUCAACCCCGUGACUGCAUCCGAUACUGUCAGGCUAGAGGUAGGUAGGGGAGAUCGGAAUUCCUGGUGUAGCGGUGAAAUGCGCAGAUAUCAGGAGGAACACCAAUGGCGAAGGCAGCUUGCUGGGGUAAUAUUGACACUGAGAUGCGAAAGCGUGGGGAGCGAACAGG
rnacentral:rRNA from 1 species